GGAAGCAGGGAGAAAGAUAGAGCAGCCCGAGAUGAGAAUGGAGGCCAAAAUAUAAGUAAGCUAGCAGAGGCCCCCGGUUCAGAUGGCGGAUCCGCUGGAACCCGCUACCAGAGGAUUUAUAAUUUAGAAGAGUUUACAGAUUAGGAUGCUAGUUGCUGAGCCCAGCAAGUUUAUGAGGUGUGUUUUUUGUUUUUGUUUUUUUCCUUCGCUUGGCGACUCUGUGGGGUUCCAGAGAGAAAGUGAGGACAUCCAAGCUCUUCUCUGCACUUAAGAUACCAAGAGCUCCAACUGUUCUGAGUUACCCACUUUACAUGUCUGGAAGGUGGUUGUGAGCCACUGGGCAUACGGGCGUUGGGAAGCAAACUCAGGUCCUCUACAAGAGCACUACUCACUCUUAACCUGUAAAUCAUUGUCUCCAGAUCCACAUGAUAUAAUGAUGUUCUUUCCCCCUCCCUUCCUCCCCCAGUCCCUCCCCCCCCCUCUCUCUCUCUCCACAUGCAUAUGCAGGUUCCGAGGAGGUCAGAGGAAGACAUCAGGAACUCCAGGAGCUGGAGUUACAGAUGCUUGCUGGCCUUCAAAUCUUAGUCCUCAUACCUCAACCUGCUAAGUGCUGGGAUUACAGGAAUGGGCACCAACUCCAAGCAAGAAUGGGUUUUUAAAUAAAAUGUUAUAGAAUAA